rnacentral:rRNA from 1 species
UACGUAGGUGGCAAGCGUUGUCCGGAUUUAUUGGGUUUAAAGGGUGCGUAGGCGGUCUUAUAAGUCCGUGGUGAAAUACGGCAGCUCAACUGUCGAGGUGCCAUUGAUACUGUAGGACUUGAGUACAGACGAGGUAGGCGGAAUUGACGGUGUAGCGGUGAAAUGCUUAGAUAUCGUCAAGAACACCGAUAGCGAAGGCAGCUUACUAGGCUGUAACUGACGCUGAGGCACGAAAGCGUGGGGAGCAAACAGG